UUUGUUGGACCAGAAACUGUUAAAGAAAACUACCAAAAUAAGUGGAAACUACAACUGGACCAGCCCCUCUGUGUUUGUCUGCCUCCUUCCUGUCCUCUCAAACCCAGCCGGUCGAGGCAGGUGGCUGCCCGUCCUGAGCCUGCUGGUCCUGCUGGAGGUCUCCCAGUUAAAAGGGAGUUCCUUCUUCCCACUGUCACCAGUGUGCUGCUCAGGAUGGGAGACUAAUGAAGUGAUUCAACACAA